AUUUCCACUCCAUAUCACAUCCCUACCAGCUGGCCACCUCAGGGGGAUCUUAUAAUCCUUAGGAGGGCGAACUAGACACCGUUCUCUGUUUCUUGAUACUUCACAAUGCCGAUCAAACUCCUCCCCAUCUUUAAACCCAGCUAAAAGGUUUGCCGAAACAUUGUAACAAGGCACAUGACUUUCUCUUUCUUUGCUACAAAGACCAAGCUCUCUUUGUCGACUAGCCCCCAAUGAAAGAGACCUCAGCUCCAGAUAAUCAACCGCCGCUUGCUCCUUUAGCCUCCUAUAGUUUGUAUAUAUGUCGGGUACUGAAGUGGUAGUUAAAGAGUCAAAUGUAUGAGAAGAAGAUGAUCCCAGCACUGCAAUUAGUGCGAGUACACUAACAACACACAAGAGUAACCAACUGAGUGGCGGUCUAGGGCCAAAAAUGAGGGAGAGUUUACUGAACCAGGAGCUUCUCAUGUCCAAGUAGUGAAAACCUGACUUGAGAAUUCCAAAAUAGCCCCCACUAGAUCACCAAGUACUUAAAUCCCCACAUAGAUUUACUUUCUCAAUUUAAAAUGCCACUCAUUUUUUGUGCAACUCUGCAGAACCAAACUCAUAAACCCAUAAGCAGUUAUUGAUUCUGCCCAACUACAUUAUGUGCAUUUCCGAAGUAGUUAACUCGUUCUUACGUAUUCAACUUAAUUAAGGAUUGCAAUCCUUACCAAUACUCAAGAAGAUACGAAAACUUUAAUAGCAGAAAAAUAUGCCCAGUGAAUGAGAUGUAGCAUACUCAUAUGAAUAAAUCAAUCCACAUAUAUAUAAUGUGUGUGUGUAUAUAUAUGUAUAUAUUUAUAUAUCACGCACACUUUGGUCGAAUGGGAAUGAAUUUCCAGGCAACCAUUAUAUUUCAUUUCUAUGCCUAUGACUUGCGAUAAGUAUAGGACAUAAAUAUUUAUUAUUGAUCUUUGAAAUUAAAAAAUUUAUCCAUAAGACAAAUCACACAAGUCAUGCAAUUCAUGCUUUCGAGAUAACUUGCAGACACAUAUAGACGUAAGCAUGCAUUUAUCAUAAUUUUUUGGCUAAAUUCUCUAAAUCUCUCAUGAAAUCAGGAUGUUGUUCAUGAUCAAAAUGAACACAAACAGCAUUUACGAAUUUUCAUAAUUCUCACCAAAAGGAUCGGAGAGGAUCCUUAACAUUAAAAGCAUCAUAUUACUAUAAUAUGAUCCAUAAGGCAUGAGUAAUUUUUUGCUCAGGAAUGUGACCUUAACAUUAAAAGCAUCAUAUUUUUGCACAAAGUAUCAAUCAUGAUUGCAAAUAACAAUUAUGAUUUUGUUGAACAAAUGUGUUGCAUUCUAAAAUGACGUCUAAAAUUAGCAACAGGUAAUAUACUAUUUGGGACAAAGUAAUCUUAAAGGACAUCCUUACCUCAUCCCUCCCUAAUUCUAUUGAGGUUCGGGAACGACUGGAUCCGGAUAUUAGCUCCACAGCUUGAUUGGGGGUUUAAGAAUUCUUAUUAGUUUUGACAGUUUAAAAAAAUCAGAAACGAUUUAACAGUUUGAAAACAAAAUGGGGUGGCUCGAAAUGCAAGAAUCGAUCAGACAAAAAAGAAGGAAAAUUUUCAAGAAACGACCAGAGAAGGCACCAAAUUUGAGCUGGUAAGAGUGUACUAGCCUUAGGUUGCAUUUAAUUUAGAGCAAGUCCACCCCUAAGGACUUUGUGCCAGCACCCAGCGCAUUUAUCCACUCAAGUGAACAGUAAUAGACCCCAGUGAACAGUAACAGACCAAAGCAUCUCCAUCCCUAAAAAAAUGCGCUGGCACCCAGCGCAUUUAUUUGGUGUGUUUUUUUUUUUUUUUUAAGUUUAUUUCAGAUAUGAUUUUUAACCAAUUUUGGAUAAAAUUUCAAAUAAACUUAAAAAAAAACACAUUGAAAUAAAAUUACAUACUCAUCAAAUAAACUUAAAAAAAAAAACACUAAAAUAAAAUUACAUAAACUCAUCAGAUAAACUAUAGAAAGAAAAAAAUAAUUUUUUUUUUAAAUUUUCUGUAUUUUUUAAUAAUUUUUCUGUAUUUUUUAAUAAAUUUUAAUUAAGUUAAUUAAUCUGGACCGUUGAUCUUUGAUCGGACGGUUCAGUUUAAAAGUAAAAUUUACAUUUUUUUACCGUUGGAAAUCCAACGGUCUAGAAAAACUAGCCGUUGGAAAUCCAACGGCUAUCAUAACGCCACGUCGCUGAGCCCAAGUGGGCUGACACAUUUUCAGGAAAGCCUGAAACCCACUCGCGCCUUGCGCACUUGUGUUGCACGCGCCUGAGAAACAGGCCAGCUUCUUGGUCAGUCCAAAACGUGCUGGGCUGUUGCCUGGCAUGGGCUGGGUGCCAGGCAACUCCACGGGCUGGAGCAAAUGGACUGAGGGCCAGCUUGUUUUUUGGACUGAGGGCUGGGACAUUUUUUUCCCAGUGGACUUUUUUUACUCAACAUAAAAAAGAUGGGACAAAGAUUGUCUACCCUCUUUGUUUUUAUGCCCUCCUGUUUUGAGUGUACAAGCCUUAGGUUGCAUUCAACUUACUCAACAUAAAAAAGAUGGGACAAGGAUUGUCUACCCUCCUUGUUCUUGUGCUCUCCCAUGCCCUCCUGUUUUGUGUGGUCACGGUUAAGCCACGUCAACAUUUUAUAUUGUUUUUUUAUAGAGAUAAUAAAACAAAAAUGAAUAGUAAUAUAAAAUGUUGACGUGGUUUAACCGUGACCUCACAAACAGAAAAGUAUGGGAGGGCACGGAAACAAAGAGGGCAGACAAUCCUUGUCCAAAAAGAUGAUGGGUUAAGGACAAGAUACUUGAUUUUGAUUACUUGGUAAAUUUGAAGUUACUUAUGGCUAACAAUCGUGGGUGGACUGUUUUACCUUACUCCAUGCAGCGUUACACUAAAUAAAAAAGACUCUUAUUGGAAAGGAUGAGUUGAAUUGAAAAAAGUAGUUCUUCGUUAAUAAUUCUCUUAUCUGUUUUGUUUUCCUCAAUUUUCAGGCUGUAAUGGAUGCUGUUGAACGAGGAAGCCUUUGCAUGGUCCUCCAAGGAUGAGCCGGAAGAAUUCAUCCAUUCUAGAUAAUAGUCGUCUGAUGCAAAUCUGAAACAUGAAGAACAACUUUGUUAUCUUUUGGAAAAACACUAAUAAUUUUCUUUCGAAACUAGUUAUGUAUUUCAAGUUUUAAACAUCUAUUGGUACCUGGAUUGGAUUCAAUUUCUUCCAUCUUGUUGUGCCAUUGUAGUUUGGUAAUUUGAGGGUUUGAAGUAAGUAUGCAGGAAAAAAACAAAGAAGGAAAAAAAGAUGAAAGUGAAAGAGAUAAGAGAUCUCAUUUUUAUAGUGAGAGGUUAAAAAUUUAGAUAACAAUUCAAUGGAUGAGAUUGAGAUAAGAAAAUCUAAAUCCAAUGGUUGUAAAGAGUUGAAAUCUUAUCUGGAUCAGAAAUAAUUGAUCAUAACAUAGGCAUGACAAGAGUCAUGAUAUAGGCAUGACAAGAGUCAUGAUAUAGGCAUGACCAGAGUCAUGAUACUCAUUCUACUUACGUUUUUGUGAAGGAAAAAAUUUGGUGUCAUAAUUUGAUUUUUUUUUUCGUUAAAAUGUUCACAAAAUAUUUUACGACAACGUAAUGUAAAACUAAUAAAAAAAAAUCAACACAAACAAAAAAUUUACACAUAAUUAAAUUAUCACAUAAAAUGGUAAAAACCUCAAAUUUAAAAAUUAUAAUAUAAGAACUCUCCCAGGCAAUAUUUCCUUAGGGACACAAAGAUUUCCUUUGAGUUCCUAAAUGAAUCCUCAAAGAUGGUGGUGAGAGUCCCUAUUUAGAGACUUUAAUUGGAGAUGCUUUUUAGGUUUACUUGGUACCUUCCUUUGGGUGACUCUACAUACACAUGACACUUAAUAUUACGGUCUAAAAGUAUUCCUCUUCACUAAUGAAUGAUAAGUCUUAUGUUUACUUCUCAUCAAAGACAAAUUCAAACCACAUUAUUGCUAGCCCAUUAUAAAACUUAGCUCACCUCCCACCCCUCUUCUUGGUGUAGAUAAUAACGUUUGUCCAAAAAAAAAAAAAACGUAAACAUGCCUUUAUUUUAAGGACCGAAUUGAAACUUGAGUCAGUGUUCGGGGACUAAUAGUCCAAAUUCCCCUAAAACCAUUAACAAAUUGCUUCCUGUAUUUUCCAACUCAGCAUCUUUUAUGAUCACACGAAAAUGUAUGUGUCCAGACUCUUAAUUUUGGACACAGCAAGGAUUUGUUCUUACAAAUAUUAAAAUGAAUAAACAAAUAAUGUUCAGACCAAAAAAAAAAUUUUGCACGAAGAAAAAAAACAUGGACGAAUGAAUUGCUACAGACGCCUUGACAAAAAAUAUACGAGUUGCAGCUACUUGUGUGUGAAACAUUCUAAUCUACAGCUUCCACGUACGCUCACUCCAGUAAUGACUCAUGAUCGCCUUCGAGGUUCUUCGGAUUCUGAUCACGAGUCACAUUUUCUUCCCAGAUCACAAUCUGCUAAUGAAAAUGAACACAAAAAGGACAGUUAAUUCAAGAUUUACCCAAACUCCACAUCGCUCCUCGCUCCUUGCAAGUCGAGGUCACAGCCACCUGCCUACCGUUUUAAACCUCCUACGUCCUAGGGCUGAUAACUUAUUGCAACUAAAUCAGGCGACUGGACUCCGUUGAAUAAUCGAAACUUGAUUCUCGAGAGAUGAGAGAAAUUACCGGAGCUGAAGGAGGAAAAACAAUUGUACACGUCCGCAAUGAUGAUGGCUCCUAAAGUAAAAUAAUCAUUUUUUUACGAACGGUUUUUGGCAAACAAGUAGUCGUUGAUCACUCCCAUUCUCAAGGUCAAUCACCCUUGCUUCCCAACGUAUUUGUGUAGCAAACAUGCGCGCCAUCUCUAUAGCUCCCUUUUUAUCACAGAGAACAACCCAUCCCUGCCAAACAGUCAUAAAUUCAUGUCCCCAAAUGAUCAAUUUCACACAUAACGUGGAAAUAUUAAAGGUCAGCAAUAUAAGCAAAAGAGGGAAAUCAAAAUACCUCAGGUCGCAGAAUCCGGUCCAUCUCCAAGAAUAAGUCCAUCAUGCCGCACCUCUCUGAAGAGAGAUGUGAGAGCAGCCCAUCUGCAUGCAGCAAAUCAUAUGUUCGAGGAUAUGUCGGGAAUGGUUCACACCUGUACCAAAAGCUCAAAUGGAUCACAACUACUGACUCUACUCAAGAAAAUAGGAUAUAAAGAGCAUAAAUGAGUCCUAUUUUUUUUACAUUCAAAGUUUGUCAGCCAUACUUAAGAGUUAACCAUUCUUAACUUUAUUUUUCCCCCGUAAAAACAGUGCAUUUGAAUUAUGCAGAAAAGAUCUUCUAAUAUCAACUUAGGUGAAGAGAUUGAAACCGACUUACCAGUCAUGCAAAACACCAGCAAAACCUUGAUCUAGAAUGAGAGGAAGUGUGUAGGGAGCAUUGACAGGCACGACAUUCAUCACCCACACUGAUUUUCUUUCCUCCAGAAAAGCAGCAUUUAAACCCCCAUAAUGAGCACUCAUGUCCAUCACAUUGCGUAGCAUGUUGAAUGGAGGUAAUGGGUCUUCAUCGCCUGGUCUCUUUGGGUGGUCAGAGAAAAUCAAGGGUGUAAGCAAAGACCAAUAGUUUUUCAGAGCUGAUCUCCAAACCCGUAAGUCUUCAAAGAAAUCUUCAGGCUGAACUCCUGCAAGGGUAAAAGAGUAUCAAUAUGCUGGCAGAACACCAUGAAGUGAAGUGUAGAACUGAAUGAUGAUGCAACAAAACUUUCCAUGAACUUCAAGCUCAGCCGAGCUCAAUCGAUGGGGACUAGAGGACCUAUUUCGAAUUGGAGCCCAGCGUUUGCUGGUGGUCCCACUUAUACAUGAUACGAGAGGCUUAUAAUAUGAUCGAACGUCAUGCCCUUCAUUACAAACUGGUAGAGCACCCUGCUUACUACAAUAAAGAAUAAAUAGCAAAGCAUCAGUAAGGUUCUUUUGCAGUGGAAAAGAAAUAAACGGAGCUCUUGAAAUACUCUAGCUCAAUGGCGCAAGUCAAUACUAAAGCCUUAAACAGUACUGAUUAUCACAUGUCAAACGAGAUAAUUAUUCACAAGAGACCCUCACCGAGAUGCAUAGCAAUCAGAAUCCACAGUUUUCUGCCAGAUAAAAGUUUCAUAUUGCUGAGCUUUUAGAGUCCAACAGACUUUCGGGGUCAAUUCCUCCAUUGUUGUGAACAUGCUAUUCUUCAUGCUCAAUGAACUUCCAUAUGGUUGGCUUGUCAAUGAGGUUACAACAAAGUAGCCUCCGGGCUUGAGUACCCGGUCAACUUCUAAAAGCAACAUCGAAUCUGAUUCAUGAAUUAAUUAAGGUUCCAUGAGAGGAAUUAUAUUUGGAAAAAAGCAAAGGACAAUUCCGAAGAAAGAAAUAUGCUCAAUGGAAAUCCCAAUUACCUUUUUUGUCCCAAACAAUACCGCACUGAGCACAAUGAACCAUUUCAAAUGACAAUGCUGGGUAAGGAAGCUGUCUUGUAAUGAAGUUUCCAAUCAUUGCUGGAAGACCUCUCUCAAGGGUCAACUGAACUUGACUGCCAGUUGCCUCAUAGGCCGCAAUACAAAUAGCCAUUACAUUCAGUGAUACUAAAUGAGCUCCGAAACUACCAAAACCACAACCAAUAUCCAGUACAGUUUGCACCUGUAGUUUAAAGUAGAUAUAUUAAAAUAAAUCACGCAACAGUCGGACUUUACAUUGUCACCAACAAGAAGCAAAAGUAGCAUGGUUUUUUUUGCUUCCAACAUAAGCUUAAUUUUUGCGCUAUGAGACAACAGCAGAGAUACGUGUUAACAAAUUCUGGCCUAUUUGAAAUCUAACAGUCACACUGCCGAAGAGAGUAAAAACUGAUAAUUACGACUUUAAUUCCCAAAGAAUACUUACACCGGCUUGAAGAAAGUCAGAGUCACUUUUUAAACCUAUCAUCUUUGCAAUUUGAAGAGAAUAAUCCUUGACACCAUCAAAAAUCAGACCAUCGUCAGAGUGAAAGGCAAUUUGAUUUUCUUCUAGUAGCAUCAACCUGAAUAUUUUUAUCAAGAAGUUAAAGAAUAAUUAUGUACAGAAAUAAAUAUUCACUCACAGCGAAAAACAAAAAACAACAUAGAAACUAAUUCAAUUUGUACACAGUUUAAAAACGUAAAUGUUUUAAAUCACUGGCGUUGAGUCAUCACUUAUUUAAAAGCGGUCAAAUAUAUAACUUUAACUGGGAAGAACCUUUUGGUCAUGCUUCCAGACGAAAGAAAUUGGUCUUUGGUUAUCUUCACAUUUCCACUCCAUAUCACAUCCCUACCAGCUGGCCACCUAAGGGGGAUCUUAUAAUCCUUAGGAGGGCGAACUAGACACCGUUCUCUGUUUCUUGAUACUUCACAAUGCCGAUCAAACUCCUCCCCAUCUUUAAACCCAGCUAAAAGGUUUGCUGAAACAUUGUAACAAGGCACGUGAUUUUCUCUUUCUUUGCUACAAAGACCAAGCUCUCUUUGUCGACUAGCCCCCAAUGAAAGAGACCUCAGCUCCAGAUAAUCAACCGCCGCUUGCUCCUUUAGCCUCCUAUAGUUUGUAUAUAUGUCGGGUACUGAAGUGGUAGUUAAAGAGUCAAAUGUAUGAGAAGAAGAUGAUCCCAGCACUGCAAUUAGUGCGAGUACACUAACAACACACAAGAGUAACCAACUGAGCAGCGGUCUAGGGCCAAAAAUGAGGGAGAGUUUACUGAACCAGGAGCUUCUCAUGUCCAAGUAGUGAAAACCUGACUUAAGAAUUCCAAAAUAGCCCCCACUAGAUCACCAAGCACUUAAAUCUCCAAGAACAGCGAAAAUCAUAACCUAUCAUAACAUACAAGCUUCUAAAUAUAUUGCCGUGAAUCCGGACAAUUCCUACAAGCAUUGAAACAAUAAAUUCCACUUCUUCCACAACAACAUACACAAAUCUUUGCUUUCUGAUCGCGCCAAGAGACUCAUAAAUCAGUCUGUAAAUCCUUAGUAAUCCUUACUUGGACACAAAGUUAAGAUCACAACCCAACACAAUUCAGUACUCAAUUACGAAUCAGUAAAAUUCUAAAACUUCCCACAGCGAAUUUAAAGCCAAAUUCGGAAAGAAACGGACAAUGACAAGUGUUGAGCAAAAGACCAACCUGCAACAAAAUCCAAAGAUCCACAAA
rnacentral:lncRNA from 1 species